rnacentral:rRNA from 1 species
UACGUAGGGGGCAAGCGUUGUCCGGAAUCAUUGGGCGUAAAGAGCGUGUAGGCGGCCUGGUAAGUCCGCUGUGAAAGUCCAGGGCUCAACCCUGGAAUGCCGGUGGAAACUGUCAGGCUCGAGUCCGGAAGAGGCGAGUGGAAUUCCUGGUGUAGCGGUGAAAUGCGCAGAUAUCGGGAAGAACACCCGUGGCGAAGGCGGCUCUCUGGGACGGUACUGACGCUGAGACGCGAAAGCGUGGGGAGCGAACAGG